CCUAUUGAACACCUCGCCCAGCCUAGAGCUCACAUUCUCCCCCUGCUCCCGAUGGCGCUCCUGGAAGCUCUGCAACUAUGCUCCACUUCAAAUGGUGAGUAUUCACUAGAGAGAUGUUCAAGGUCCACUCAGAGCCUCAUGGCUGCAUUUGAAGUCACCCGACAUGUGCCUUGGCUUAUUCCAAGUGGAGCCACAACUUAAUUUCAAAAGCAGAAUUCAUGUAAAUGCAUCGAAUUCUGCACAUGCACCAGGAAUGUAUGAUUUUUAUUUUACAAACCCCAAAGGCUCCUCCUUCCGGGCCCACCCCUUUUUUCUGAAACCACUUAUGAGCAGAACAAAGGAAUGUACUAACUGUGGAGGCAGCAUUACAUGUGAGCAGUCACUGCACUGUGAAGUGUGCGCUACGACAACAUAUUUCAUCGUACAGAAGUGCGGAUAAUUAAAUAAUGCCACAGCAACCCUGACUCAUUAGCAGAAAGAUCUUUAAGGAGGAAUCAAGAAGAUGGAUCCAAUCAACUUGGAGAGUACUCUUCCUUCUCUGAGAUCUCAAAUAUAUUUUAGUUGGUUGGUGAUUGAUUCAUGCAGGGCUCGAGGACAAAAGCCAGUUUCUCAAAGCCGAAUGCGGAUCUUUUUUAGACGAACAAACUGUAUGUCUUAGAUGAGUUGGAUUUAACAUAAGGCUUAAUGUUUGGAGUCAAAGGUAGAGCGUGCCACCUUGAUGCUCAUUUCCCCUUUUAUCCAUAGAUCUAAGAAAUGCCCAACCCUUAACCUUUCAGUUGGCUUCCUCAACAUGCAUGUAGCCUCUCCUACAUUUUCUAAUGACGGAUGUUCAAGUUCCUUAUUGCUUGAACCAAGUAAGUAUCAUCGUCACAGAAAUAAGCAACUGUACUCAGUGUCUUCCAGGGUCUCCCCCUACUCCAUUUCCUUUGUCUAGGUGCUAUUCUCAGUUUUCAGUGUCCAUUGGUCCUUUAAGGGGGAGCUCCAGGUUUAACUUGAGGGCUAUAAGCAUUGGAAGAAUAAUUCCCAUUGGAUACUGUACAGAGAAGCCACCUGCAAAAUGUUGACGCUGUUAUUGAAGUCUCAAGUGGAGUCAGCUUUCAAAAAAUUAGAUAUUAGAUACAUCCGGCAUAAUUUGCAAUCUGUAAUUAUACUAAUGUGCAUAUAGCUGUGCUUUGCUUUAUCUGUAGCCUACUUGAGUGUGUCCCCAUCACCCCCCAUCCUCGGGCAUGUCUCAUGCUUGGAAUUGCUUGGGAGGAGAGUGCUUUGUAAGUCAGCUUAGGGUUUUUUUUUUAAUUCCUUGUUAAUUAAUACAAGAAUAAAAGGACUUUGC
rnacentral:lncRNA from 1 species